UACGUAGAAGACUAGUGUUAUUCAUCUUUAGUAGGUUUAAAGGGUACCUAGACGGUAAAAUUAAUCUUAAAUAGGAUAUGUUUUUACUAGAGUUAUAUGUGAGAAGGGGAGUAUUUAUGGCGUAGAGUUGAAAUUCGUUGAUUCCAUAACGACUGGUAACGGCGAAAGCAACCUUUUAUGUAAUAACUGACGUUGAGGGACGAAGGCUCGGGUCACGAACAGGAUUAAGAA
rnacentral:rRNA from 1 species